CUCUUUCGGUGCAUGAAUCAUAGGCUGAGUGUUAUUUUGGGUCAUUCGUACCUUGGAGGUGUCAUGCCCUCAGUUUAAAAGGUACAUAUAGGAUUCAUUACACUUUGGUAAAUUCGAGGAAGUGGAAAACACAAAGAUGAAGCAGAAACAUCAAACAGACGAAUCAGAGCCCCUUUGCCUCGAGAAUCCAUUUUAAAUCAGUCAUUACUGUUUUACCUCAAGUGAACUGGAGGGAGACGCUCACUCCUUCCCUCAGUAUUUUGUAUGGAUAAAGCUAUGAGGAAUUAAAUUGAAAUCAAAUGGGA